rnacentral:lncRNA from 1 species
CUGCUCUCUCUCUAACCCCCCAAAUGCACGGAAGCUAAAAGCAGGUACAAGAAUGGUUAUUUUAUAACAACAUUUCCUAAGCUGCAUCUUCUUCCAGCCGACACUGAUCCCAAUUCCCUAAAUCACAGUCUCCAUACAGAGACAAAAAGGUUUCUUAGAAAAAUCUCGGUUUCACACUUUCACUCAAAACCUACCACGCUUAUAAGUUAUAAAUUCACAAUGGAACCUCUCAGGUCCCUUUUCCCUCAUCUCCCUCCGUUGAAAGACUAGUCGAAGGGGUAGACAGAGGAGUCCGCCCUUUCUUAUCUCCUUUCUCUUCUUGCUCUCUGCUCUCCUCUCCCUAUCA